CCUGUGCUUUCUGUCCUAUACCUCCAGGCAACACAGUACACCGAAAUCCUUCAUUUGCAUACCUAAACUGCACUACCUGUGAAUAAACCCUUUUAGCUGCUAAUGUAAUAACAUCUCCAUUUCAGGAGAGGAGCAGGGGGUUAGCCAGCCCUCAGAGAUUCAUGCAACCUCACCCACUCUCCCUCCCUCUCGCCUACCCCUCUCUCUUUUUUACUUUUCUCAUCCCACUUCUGCUCUGCAGCACAAUGGGCCCCGGCAUGCAGAUGCAUCUGGCAGGCCCGCCUUAUUAGCCACAUCUAGUUAGGGUCAGCUGUGGAAGUGGGAGUGGGUGAGUCCUGAUUACGAGCAGAUAAGCAGGGACGCACACACACAUGGACACGUGUGAGCAACCAACCAGCCAGCCCUCACUUCACCUUCACAUUGGGCAGAGGAUUAGAAGUGAUGUUGUACAAGAUUUCUAAAUGGGAUGUGCGUGUUUCCUUUCAUUAACGGCAGCUCCCGCUUUAAUUGCAUCCCAGUUGAAAGAUAAUGAAAUAGUGAGAUCUUAAAGCUCUGUUAAACGGAUCGUCCUCAAACGCCGGUACCGAAGUAUGGAACCGCGAUCGUCACGUCAUGAAUAAAAACAAAACUCAGGAGUAAUGUGGGAUGGAGAAACCAACAUUUUUCAUUUUACAGGCUCUAAUUGGCCCCGGCCGCAUCCCAUUUCUCUGCAACAAUAACCCGCAGAAGCUCAAACUGAUUUACAUUAACAACGCAAGAGGCCAGAUGACGUGCUCGCUACACCAAACACGGAAACGCGUGCCUACAAUUACGUUGCACUAUUUUCCAGAGUCAUAUCGUGACGAGGGUGCCGACACGUUGCAGACUCUCCUUCCUUUGCCCCCGAGAAGGCAGCGAAAGAUGCCAGGAUAUCGCUUUAAUUGUCCAAUUACAUGGAAUAAUGUGGCUGUUUCGGCACGCCCCGAAAUCGGUACUCCUCCCCAAAUUCUGUUCUCCUGUUUGGGUGGUGGUGGUGGUGGUGGUGGGGGGGGGGUGCAGUGAUUUUUCUUCUUCUGUGAAUUAGGACUUGAACGGUGAGGAUAACCGAGACAUCUCUCGCGUUUCCCCCUCUGAGAGCUGCCGUUCACUACCUCACAGAGCUCACAUGAAUAAUAUUAACAUCAAAGAGAACUUCUUGGAAACCAUCUGAUCAAGCUGUAUCGAACAUGGCUGUGACGUGCGUGUAACACGUCUCUCCCUCGCGCUCUCUCCCUCAUACACACACAUACAAAAAUACUGCACACACUGAAAAGCCUGGAAUAUAUUUGUAUUCUCCCCGAGUAUGAGGGAGAUCCAGUAACUUCAAAGAACCCAUUUCCACUACUACUACUACUACUACUACUACAGCUACUACAGCUACUGCUUCUGUGCGAUGAGACAUAAAUGCUGAGUGCAGUCAUGCCACACUCAAAGUUAAAGACGCACAUGGUACAGGGCAAAACACAGAAAUAGAACCUAUGCUUUUAUAGUAUCUGACGCACAAAUUUUUCGUAUCAAAUGUAUUCUGCUGAACCAUUUUUCUUCCAUUCAUCAUCUCCACUCUGUUAAUACUAACAGGCCUCACACCUGCAGCUACCGCUGACUUCAUCCUACAUGUUUCACCAUAAUACGCACACAUCCUUUAUACACACAAGAUGACACAAUCCCACAUAGCAGGAAGAUGAGAAUCCUUGGCGUUAGACGAUCAAAUAAAUAUACACACACGACUACAUGCUAAAGUGGGAUGAUGAGAAAACAACGAGGCCGAACAGCAUUCGUCUAACCAACCAAAUAACCAACCAACCAAAUGCCAAGCGAGCCCCGAAAAACACACAUGAAAAAGAUGAACUUAUUGAGGUCUCUAUUUCCAUGGCAACACAGGAUAGUUUUGAUGAUGUUCCUUCUCAGUCGGCAGGCAGGGUUUGGCCGAAUCACGGCACAGAUUGGUGCUCCGUGGCUUGUUACUAAGGGCGGGUUUAAAACAGAGAGAGAGAGAGAGAGAGGCGCAGAUGGUUGGAAGAAUUGCCACUUUGAAGAAAGCCCCAACCCACACUCACAACUGGGUUCUGCAAUAUUGAUUUGAAUGGAUGGAAAGGAAGAUAACAUAGUGGCCUAUGAAUAAGCAAGUAAUGGAUAAUAUGGGAUAAAUCAAAAGCCAUUCAAACUGAAUAGGAUAUGUGUUCUCAAUGAUGCAGAAGUCCAGUGCGUCUGCCUCUCUACAUGAGGGCACAGUGAACUAUGGUGCUGAGCAGCAAUGUCAGGACUCAUGCCUCUAAUAUCCGCCGACUACAAAGCAACGGAACAAAGACAGAAGGGCAAAAGAGAUGAAAAAAAAUGAUGAUCAUAAAUUUCUGCUUGAUGCAUCUCAGGCUCAAUUGGAUGGACUAAACCUCUUUGUGUAAAAUAUUAAUUGUCAUUUUACAUCCGAAACUGUAGCAACCUGUUUUUUUUAAAGGGAUGUAGAUGGCCGUAACCGCCGGGAUCACCGCACUCACGCCGCUGCGACCACUCACUGAAUUGACACAGAUGACUGUCCAUUAUUUUCUUUGGCUUUUCGAAAUCUUAAUUACAAAUUUCUUCACAGCCCUUUGAGAGGCUCCAGAUCGUUGAAUAAACACCACACAAUCAUCAGGGGUUUUAAUUUACUCUGCAGGGGAAGUUGCGCUAAAUACCAUCUAUUUGCAAAAAAAAAAAAAAAGAAAUCCCUACUCCCCCCCCCUCCCACCACCCCACCCAAUUAGCCCCUCCGUGGAGCGUAGCACCAUGAACUGCAGCAACCAGCGUAAAGAGCACCGGGCCCCAUCAGGCCCCAUCAGGCCCCGGCUCGCCCUGAUCCGUGUUCAACACAACGCCACUGCUGUGCAUUUACACAAGCACCAGCUCCCGCACUCCAUCCCCUCUGUCGCCUCCCCUUCUUUCACCUUUUUCAGCUGCCCCACCCCCCUUUUUUCGCUCCGACCCCACAACCCUAAAUCCCACCAGCACGCGGCAACAUGGCAGACAGGCAGCCACGCAGACAGGUGACCGUAAACAAUUAAUCAACAUGGUGACACCUCUACAUCUGCCAGGCCCAACACGGGGAGGGGAGCUGUCAGCUAGCAAAACAAAGCAGCCCCCAAACACACACACACACACACACACACACACCGUUGUGUCGGUGAGCGGCUCACGAGCUCAUAGAGUGUCACACCACAAAACGUUGAAGCUCUUGUGUAUGAAAUAUUUACCUAACACGCAGGAGAGACUCGACAUGCAAUUUUUAACAACUGAUUUCUGUCAGCGCCAUUUGGAUGUCACUGGAUGACACUUGACAGUUGGGACACAGCGAGGUAUCCUCGUGCAACGGAUCGUAUGAUGUCUUACUGGGAGUCACUCCCAGUCAUUUCAUCCAAUGAAAGCCAGCAAAACGUGUCAGUAUCCACUCGUUACAUGAAUACGGUCUUUUCAAGAAGAAUUUCAAUCUUCAUCAUUGUAGUAAGGUUUAGCAGAAGGUCUUAUACUAAGAAAAGGUAUCUGAAUAAUAGUGUAGACAAGGUCUUUUUGUUAAUACUACGCUGCUCAGUUUUCAAGCAUCACAUCAACGGAUGCAGGGACAAGUACAGAUUGUGGAGGAACACAAGUUUAAAUUAAUAACGAGACAUUAUUAGGAAAUAGUGAACAUGCUGGCAAUCCGCACUUUCAGGUGGACCAACUCUGUGGAUUUGGAAACCAGGGAAAACGUCUCUGGUGCUGGUAAAUUAUGACGCUCAGAGGCACCAAGCUUGAAACGUCUAAACCCAACGAGCUUUGGCUCGUGUUUACAAAAGAGUGUGGCGAAUGUAGAGAAUUUGUUGCAAAAAAACAACUUUCCAAUCUUGAAACAGCAGAUGACCCAUUUCGAUGGCCAUGAGCUAAAGAUUCAGGAAUCACUCUCCAAAACAUUUACCUGUGUGAUGGGUAGAGCUCCCUCUACCUGUUUGGCCACACCAUUUUAAUUGGUGAUUGCCAACAGGUGAGGCCAGAUUACUUCCUGGUUUAAAUGUAGGGUUUGCCCCAGGUUGCCCCAGCUCCACACUUGUCUGCUGGACUGGGCGCUGAAGGACUAGUCGUGGAGCUCCCGCCCCAUCUGUGCAGGCUCCAGGGGGUCUGUUUUUGUAGUGGAGCGGGGGGUGUUUUUGGUUUCGUUUGGAUGUGCUCUCUAGCGGUGAUGUUGGGUGGAGUUUUGUACGUUGCGUGUGUGUGUGUGACAUGUGCUUCUUUGUUUUGUGGCAGGAACGGGGAAGUGAUGUCGGCUUUUCAGUGAUUGGGGAGUUCUAGCCACUGGUGGUUUUGCAAACAUAUUUUGUACUUAUGGUUACCUCAAUGCCAGUACAGGUGGGCUGAUCAUACGUCUGUAGGUCGUGCUUCACUAGGUGGAGGGCUUCCUCAUUCAUAGUUUAUUUGGCAUGUUUUAUAUUUGUUGUGUUUUGCUUUGCAGUGCGUGUGCGUGACUUUUACUUCCUUUCUGGUCCCUGGUGGUGGCCCCUUUCCCCUUCACUCCCCACUCCUUUAGGCCUCCCUGAUAGUCAUCUUGUGCUGGUAAAACACCUCAGUGUAACGACAUUUUUUUUUUAGCAUAGAAGAUAUUUUUGUAAUAAAAGCCUUAUUUUUAAAUCGCGACUGUUGACCAACAUGAAGCCUAUCUACAAAUAAAACUGGACAUUGUUCAAAAUAAACUAGAAUUCACCUCUGCUCCCCUUCUUAAAACAAAUGAGAACCUAAUAUUUCUACGUGGUAUUCUGUGGGUGAAAGUCCCAGAGUGGCGUUGUCUCAUUGCGGCCAGGCACAUCAGUUGCCCCGGUCACACCUCGCACUAACUUACCAAAAGAAUAAAUACUUGUAUGCAUUAUAAAAGGAGCAUAAGAGUGAUAAUAUGCAAAGAGAUACAAUGAAAAAAGUACAGCCCCAAAGCUGGGUUACCUUAAUAACCAUUAAGGUAUUAACCCGUUAUGUGUACAACAUUUUAAAGGAAACGAAUUUGAUUCCCACCGGUUUAAGUUGUUGGGUCUUUUACCGUUGGUCUUAAACUUGUCACAUGUUUUCAUACCAACAUACACCACCAACUAGGAAGCUUGAGGAGCCCAGACAACAAGAGAUGGACUACGUCUGUGUUUAUCUGUCCUGUUUUGUGGGUGAAGCAAUCUGUUGAUGUCAGGCCUUUUCACCGGUCUCAACAGUUUAAGGAAACAAAACUUCUUGAUUAGUUUGGGAAAAGGUCGUUGUUAAAAUAACUACCGGUGCCGUUAUGAAGGGACGCAGCUUAAGUUACAAAGGAAUUGUCAAAACAGCCGUCUCCAGGGAGAAAGAUCAGUUCGUUGGGGCUAUCGACCUUUGUGUGCUUUAUCGGCCUUUAUACUUAAUCUCGUGGGAUGUGCAGGUUGCCUAGUUACGAAUGCUGGAUGAGAGCAGCCUAGAGACAAAGUGAACAGGCAGAAUAUAAAUAAAACACAUAUUUUCCAGUACGUAUUCAUGGAUUGAAAUAUAUUACCUUCUCAAACUGAUUUUUUUAUGCUUUCCAAACAUUUGCCCACCACAUCCUCUUUCAUCCGCGAACACCAAAAGGCUGCGUUUUAUCAAAUCACAAAAGAACCAUCAGUGUGUCCCUGGUACUCUGAGUAGCCCCUGUGGCUGCCAAAGGUCUACAGGGGGACUGCUUCUUUGGUGGACCGUAGUCUCCUAGGAAUCUCACUAACGGAAGAAAAAAACUGUCUGUCUAGAAACCCUGAGCAGCAAAUGUCCGGUCGCUUGGGUUCAGGAGGCAGAGUGGGUAAGACACCCGACCCCAAAUCUCUGCAGACGAUCUGGCCAGAACGAUGCUUGGCCUCUCGCUGCCACCAAUGAGUGAAUGUGUGCGUGUGAAAUUGCGAGGCGCUUUUGAUUCUUCUAUUCCAAUCGAUCCCAAAUUGGGAUGUGGCCUUUUAUCUCACACCGUUGCUUUCCACUGUUCCAGGAUGUUUUCCUUCAUACGCCAUUGUUUUAAUCCAUCCCCCAUUCCCUGAAAUCAUCCUGCAGGCCAGAGGACUGGGGGUCAGCGGCAUAUUCAUAUGGAUGAGUUCAGCUAACAGGUGAUGAAUGUCAGAGCCGCUGGAUGCCUAUUGUCACCGGGCACAGGGACAAUAUGGGGGGGGGGGUGGAGAGGUCAACACUGGGAUGUCUGCUGUUAAAGUUUAAGCCAUAGCUGACUUGUGUCAUCCGUCAAUGGGGAAACGUCCCCAGGCUAUGGGGGAUUCACUUUUGCCUACAGGUGUAGUAUUGCGGGACUUUGCACCUUUUAAAAAGAAGACGCGUGUAUUUCUGCCCCACCAUUAGUUUGUGAUAUUUUGCCGGAUGCGUUAUUUGGGUCUUGUUGAAUGGGAGAGUGUGCUCGUGCACAAACACUCCUGGGGAUUCUAAUAACAAUGCAGCGAUCCCGGGGAGUCACGGAGCUGCUGGAGCUGUCAGGCCCUUUUGUUUCAAGGGGCCACUCAUUAAAUUACAAUCCCGAAGAUAAGGCUCCUUCAGGGGCCACAGAAGGCCAUGGAGGAGGAGGUAUUGUUCCUCACUCCAUGCACCCUGCCUUCACAAACCUACAGGAAAUGCAGUCCUGUGGGAUGAGUUAAUAAACGCUCACAAUGAGAGCAUGUGGGCAAAUGGCAUCGCUCACCUGGUGUGGGCAGGAAGGAGAAGAGAACAGACGAGGAGGAGAGGACAAAGAAAAAAGAAACCCGGGUUGAGAUUAACCUGCCAUUUUCCUAAAGGUGGUCAUUAUGCUGCCAGUAGGAAACUUGUGGGACGGGAGCUAAAGGCGAAAACACAAAGCUCUCAUUCGAUCAGGUCUGGUCUUUACAGAGUGGCUGUCAGUUUUGAGUUGGGGGAAGAGGUGAAACGUACGGGGUUGUUUCUUUGGGGGGGGUGAGGGGGCUUGUUUGCCGUUUGGGUUUGACUGCAUCUCACACAUCAAAUUGAAGCAAAGUGUAACAUGUGAAUGUUGUGACGAAUGAGGCACACAUGACAGAAAGAAGACGUAGGUGAGAAUUGGAAAGGGAAGGCUUCCCUGGAGAAUGUGUGUGUGUGUGUGUGUGUGUGUGUGUGUGUGUGUGUGUGUGUGUGUGUGUGUGUGUGUGUGUGUGUGUGUGUGUACAUAGCCUGCAUGUAUGUGAGGUAUGUUUUGCUGCUGAUAGAAUGUAUAACCCCAACUCUUUUGAAAUAUCAUU
ensembl:lncRNA